AUGUCUUGCUUUUUGACAGUCCACUUAUUUUAUAUGACAGAAAGUUAUUCUUUUAAUUUUUAUACUUCAAGGUAUUUUCUGGCCUGUGUUUUAGAAAGCUCUCCAGGAUUCAUCUUUGGCUGUGAAUAUGACUUUCUACAGUCCCAUGUAAGAGGGAGUGCUCACACACUGUCAUCUUACCCUUCUGACAAGUGGCUAAGAACAGAUGUUUCUACUGAAACACAUGGGCCACCACUUCCAGUACAGGUGUUCACAGGGAUGGGGGCAGUCAGCAGUAGAACAACUUGGAGGCUUGUGAAUCCACUGGAGAAAAGCAACUUCCAUAGCUGGAUCUCAGUUACUUGUCUCCUGGACUCCACCCAACUGCAGACAAACAGGGAGACAUUGCUUCUUGGAUGUACAAGCUGUUUUGCCUGUGAGGAUGGUAGGUUUCAGCUCUGA
rnacentral:lncRNA from 1 species